UGGGGAAUAUUGCACAAUGGAGGGAACUCUGAUGCAGCGACGCCGCGUGAACGAAGAAGGCUUUCGAGUCGUAAAGUUCUUUUAUAUGGGAAGAUAAUGACGGUACCAUAAGAAAAAGCCCCGGCUAACUACGUGCCAGCAGCCGCGGUAAUACGUAGGGGGCUAGCGUUGUCCGCAAUCACUGGGCGUAAAGGGUUCGCAGGCGGAAAUGCAAGUCAGGUGUAAAAGGCAGUAGCUUAACUACUGUAAGCAUUUGAAACUGCAUAUCUUGAGAAGAGUAGAGGUAAGUGGAAUUUUUAGUGUAGCGGUGAAAUGCGUAGAUAUUAAAAAGAAUACCGGUGGCGAAGGCGACUUACUGGGCUCAUUCUGACGCUGAGGAACGAAAGCGUGGGUAGCAAACAGG
rnacentral:rRNA from 1 species